rnacentral:rRNA from 1 species
GGGGGACGAUAACGGCGUCGAGCGGCGGACGGGUGAGUAAUGCCUAGGAAAUUGCCCUGAUGUGGGGGAUAACCAUUGGAAACGAUGGCUAAUACCGCAUGAUGCCUACGGGCCAAAGAGGGGGACCUUCGGGCCUCUCGCGUCAGGAUAUGCCUAGGUGGGAUUAGCUAGUUGGUGAGGUAAGGGCUCACCAAGGCGACGAUCCCUAGCUGGUCUGAGAGGAUGAUCAGCCACACUGGAACUGAGACACGGUCCAGACUCCUACGGGAGGCAGCAGUGGGGAAUAUUGCACAAUGGGCGCAAGCCUGAUGCAGCCAUGCCGCGUGUGUGAAGAAGGCCUUCGGGUUGUAAAGCACUUUCAGUCGUGAGGAAGGUAGUGUAGUUAAUAGCUGCAUUAUUUGACGUUAGCGACAGAAGAAGCACCGGCUAACUCCGUGCCAGCAGCCGCGGUAAUACGGAGGGUGCGAGCGUUAAUCGGAAUUACUGGGCGUAAAGCGCA